UUGACCUCAAAUCGGGUGAGACUACCCGCUGAACUUAAGCAUAUCAAUAAGCGGAGGAAAAGAAACUAACAAGGAUUCCCCUAGUAACUGCGAGUGAAGCGGGAAAAGCUCAAAUUUAAAAUCUGGUGGUCUUUGACCAUCCGAGUUGUAAUUUAGAGAAGCG
rnacentral:rRNA from 1 species